rnacentral:rRNA from 1 species
AUUGAACGCUGCGGCAUGCUUUACACAUGCAAGUCGAACGGCAGCGCGGGGGCAACCCUGGCGGCGAGUGGCGAACGGGUGAGUAAUGUAUCGGAACGUAUCCUGUAAUGGGGGAUAACCAGUCGAAAGAUUGGGUAAUACCGCAUACGCACGAGAGUGGAAAGUAGGGGAUCGCAAGACCUUACGUUAUAGGAGCGGCCGAUAUCUGAUUAGCUAGUUGGUGGGGUAAAGGCCUACCAAGGCGACGAUCAGUAGCUGGUCUGAGAGGACGACCAGCCACACUGGGACUGAGACACGGCCCAGACUCCUACGGGAGGCAGCAGUGGGGAAUUUUGGACAAUGGACGAAAGUCUGAUCCAGCAAUGCCGCGUGCAGGACGAAGGCCUUCGGGUUGUAAACUGCUUUUGUACAGAACGAAAAAGUCUUUAAUAACACUAGAGGCUCAUGACGGUACUGUAAGAAUAAGCACCCGGCUAACUACGUG